rfam:Flavobacterium sp. LM4 uFlavobacterium_sp_LM4_contig3, whole genome shotgun sequence.
UAAUAGUGGAGACUAGAAACCACUGAAAAAACGGGGAGUAACUGAAAAUCCAAAAGAGUAAGAAAAUA